AGCCGUAUCUAGUGAAUAGUUUGGGGCUUGAGACCACCCCUUAUCUGAUCCUUGGUUCAGCAACAUAGACAUCUUGUCACACUCAGACUGUCACAGGAGAGGGGUUGGUGCCUCCUGCUCCCUGUGCAGACCUCACACUACAGGGGACCACAACAGUUUACCUCUUACUGCCUGCCUCCAGGUUCCUGCUUGAGUUCUUGCCCUGACUUCCUCCAUGAUGGACUGCGAGCUGUAAGGUAAGUACACCCUUCCUCCUCAAGUCACGGCCACAGAGAAGCCAACCAGGACACAGAGCUUAACUGGUAAAUAUGCUGUGGACCAGGCAGAAGAGAAAGGAGACCUGGAUGGAGAGGGUCAGGAAACAUAGAAGACCAAGAAGCUGUUUGCCAGGACAGAGGAGAACAGCGCGGUUCAACUGUGGAUAUUGUGAGCAUGCUCAGGUUGUGAGAUUGUCCUGGCUGUGAUGGACUGGCAUGGUUUCACAGGCUGCCUUCACUGGGGACACCAGAUAAGUUGAGCUGCGUUUGUCUGGACUCCAUAGAGAGAAACGCACCCAAAAACUUCUGGUGGUAUGCCUCAGCUUCUUGCUGCUUCUGAGGACUCGGCUGAUUGGCAAAGUGAUGUCAUCUGGGACAGACUCACGUACUGAGACAAGAGACAUGGAUGGUGCCAAGGGGGAAAGGCCCCAUACAACCAGAGACAGGGCCUGGCAAGGAAGCAAGCCUCUGAAGUGGCUUGUAGAUGAGCUGAUCUAGACCCUGCAAACCAAGAGUCAGUAUGCCCAUUUCGCUAUUCCAUCACUCAGAAGUUGCCUGAAGUCCUUCUCACCCCUGCCCUUGAUAGCAGGCUCACAGCUAUGCUUCAUUUUCUUUGUGACAGAGAACAGGAAGGGCCUGGGGGUUUGGAUCCACAGUCAUUGACAAGCACAUGUGGCUUUGGAUGCCAGGGUCCCUGGCACACGGCUCUGAGAUGGUGAAGAAUUGAAAUGCUACUAAAGCCCCUCCCUGAGCAAGAAAAUCUUGGCAGGAUGACGCCAGAAGCAUGGGGAGGGGAAGGCUCUGCUCCUGAUGGACCACGGUGAGCCUUGAUGCUGUCCAAACAGGUUCUGCCAAACCCCAGGAGCGGCUUCUGGGCAAACAUGGGACUAGCACCGGGACUGGCACGUGAAGGCGAAUGCAAAGGGUUUGGGAGAUAUUUUUUUCUCCCAACAAGGAAGCAGGCCGCUGUUGAUUUCCCCCUGAGGGGCCGGAAGUGCACUGCAGCAGUGUUCCGGUGGGCUGCUGGGCCUGGGUCUCCUCCUCCGAGCCCUGCAUCCUGGGGACCAGUGCUUGUGCAUUUGUCCCACAGAGAUACUGUGACUGCAGCCAGCCCUGCAGCAUCCCGCAGACCCCAGCCUUCAGAGUCUGUCUCCUCCAACCCUGCCUGCGCCCAGCAGCGCGGACCACGUGCUCCCGAAAAUCAGGAGUUUCAAGCUUUCAACCUUUGCUGUUAUUCAUCGUGGGGCCAGGGUCCCUCCUACCCACAAUGUGUACUCUCUGGGCAGAGAACAGGAUUCCUGGCAAACAGAAGCUGGGAGCGCAGCCUGGAGUGCGGUGUCUCCAGAUCUGACUCUGACCCUGGGAUUCAGGAUGUUCAUAUGAACAUGUACGUUAAGUGAAUCCUUGGCGUAGGCUUCUGUAGUGGGCCGUGGGUCCACCAUUGUGCAACCCCCGCAUAAGUCUUUUCCUAUCUCUUGGCUGUUUGCAGGGAUGAACUGGCACGAUUUAAGUAAAAACAAACUGAACUUCAUUAAAAAAACAAAAAAAGUAAACUUUUGUUUCCCAGAAAGUCCUCAAUAACAACAUUAGGAAGGCAUUCCUAAGAAGAAAAUAUUCACAAUGCAAAUGUUCGACAAGGGGCUUGUAUCCUGCAUAUAUAAGGAGUGUUUGCUAUGCAACAACAAGAACAGGCAAAAAUGAGGAUAAGAUGAUAAUAUAAGCUCCUGACAGCCCAGUCCUACUGUGACUGGAAAUUCUAAAUAGAACAUACAAGCUGCUAUGUGAGAACUCUAAAAGGUGAGUGAAUGCAGAUUGGGGGGGCGGGGGAGAGAAAAAUCUGUGAGCAGCCAUGUGCUCCUCCCUCCUCCCUCACCCUGCUCUUUCCUUGUCUGGUCCUCCCU